rnacentral:lncRNA from 1 species
CAAAUUAAAAUUUACCCUAAUAAUAAUAAUAUAAAAAUGUAAAGAACAUGCUUGAACUAUAAACUAUUUUGAUUCGACUAUCCAACUUUUUAGAAUUUUGAUUUUAGUACCCAAGCCCUUUAAUUUAUUAAAUUUAAGUUAUUUGAUGAUUAUUUUGAUACUAACUAAACAUGCAAAGAUAAAAUAAUAAAUUUUAAUUUUUGAAGUAAAGAAUCAUUAGUUGACUUAAAUCAAAUAAAACAAAAAUUCAUAUGGCAGAAAUUAAAACUUCUAAAAAUAGAUAAUAGUUAAGAUAAAUUAUAUACAAAAUUUACCCAAUCAUAUAUAUUUUUAGGGUAAAUUUCAGAUACCACUCUUAUGGUUUCACACUUUCUCACUUUAGUACCAUGUGGCUUAAAGUGUGUCAAGUUAGUGUCCUGUGAUUUUAUUUUUAUCUUUUCGUCAGUUUUUCUGUUAACAUUUCAUUAAAUUAUAUAUAAAAAACUUUACCUAGAUUUAUCAAAUAUUCACUUUAAUUAGUACCGUUUAGUUUUAACUUUGUCACUGAUUUAACGAAAAAAAUUAGUAAAAUCGAUAAUAAAAAAAAAUCAUAAAACACUAAUUUGAUACACUUUAAACCACAUGAUACUAAAGUUACAAAAUAUAAAACCACAUAUCAUAGGUGGUAUUUAAAAUUUUUUCAUAAUUUUUAUUUAACGGGCUUUAACUACCAACAAC